ACUCCUACGGGAGGCAGCAGUAGGGAAUCUUCCACAAUGGGCGCAAGCCUGAUGGAGCAACACCGCGUGAGUGAAGAAGGGUUUCGGCUCGUAAAGCUCUGUUGUUAAAGAAGAACACGUAUGAGAGUAACUGUUCAUACGUUGACGGUAUUUAACCAGGAAGUCACGGCUAACUACGUGCCAGCAGCCGCGGUAAUACGUAGGUGGCAAGCGUUAUCCGGAUUUAUUGGGCGUAAAGAGAGUGCAGGCGGUUUUCUAAGUCUGAUGUGAAAGCCUUCGGCUUAACCGGAGAAGUGCGUCGGAAACUGGAUAACUUGAGUGCAGAAGAGGGUAGUGGAACUCCAUGUGUAGCGGUGGAAUGCGUAGAUAUAUGGAAGAACACCAGUGGCGAAGGCGGCUACCUGGUCUGCAACUGACGCUGAGACUCGAAAGCAUGGGUAGCGAACAGGAUUAGAUACCCUGGUAGGAUAGCG
rnacentral:rRNA from 1 species